ACGAACGCUGGCGGCGUGCUUAACACAUGCCAGUCGAACGGAAAGGCCCUGCUUUUGUGGGGUGCUCGAGUGGCGAACGGGUGAGUAACACGUGAGUAACCUGCCCUUGACUUUGGGAUAACUUCAGGAAACUGGGGCUAAUACCGGAUAGGAGCUCCUGCUGCAUGGUGGGGGUUGGAAAGUUUCGGCGGUUGGGGAUGGACUCGCGGCUUAUCAGCUUGUUGGUGGGGUAGUGGCUUACCAAGGCUUUGACGGGUAGCCGGCCUGAGAGGGUGAACGGCCACAUUGGGACUGAGAUACGGCCCAGACUCCUACGGGAGGCAGCAGUGGGGAAUAUUGCACAAUGGGCGGAAGCCUGAUGCAGCAACGCCGCGUGCGGGAUGACGGCCUUCGGGUUGUAAACCGCUUUCGCCUGUGACGAAGCGUGAGUGACGGUAAUGGGUAAAGAAGCACCGGCUAACUACGUG
rnacentral:rRNA from 1 species